GUUGAACGCUGGCGGCAGGCCUAACACAUGCAAGUCGAGCGAGCGGCGGACGGGUGAGUAAUGUCUGGGAAACUGCCUGAUGGCGGGGGAUAACUACUGGAAACGGUAGCUAAUACCGCAUACCAUCAGAUGUGCCCAGAUGGGAUUAGCUAGUAGGUGGGGUAAUGGCUCACCUAGGCGCCGAUCCCUAGCUGGUCUGAGAGGAUGACCAGCCACACUGGAACUGAGACACGGUCCAGACUCCUACGGGAGGCAGCAGUGGGGAAUAUUGCACAAUGGGCGAAAGCCUGAUGCAGCCAUGACGCGUGUGUGAAGAAGGCCUUCGGGUUGUAAAGCACUGUCAGCGAGGAGGCGUUACUAGCAGAAGAAGCACCGGCUAACUCCGUGCCAGCAGCCGCGGUAAUUC
rnacentral:rRNA from 1 species